AUUGAACGCUGGCGGCAGGCCUAACACAUGCAAGUCGAGCGGAUGAAGGGAGCUUGCUCCUGGAUUCAGCGGCGGACGGGUGAGUAAUGCCUAGGAAUCUGCCUGGUAGUGGGGGAUAACGUCCGGAAACGGGCGCUAAUACCGCAUACGUCCUGAGGGAGAAAGUGGGGGAUCUUCGGACCUCACGCUAUCAGAUGAGCCUAGGUCGGAUUAGCUAGUUGGUGGGGUAAAGGCCUACCAAGGCGACGAUCCGUAACUGGUCUGAGAGGAUGAUCAGUCACACUGGAACUGAGACACGGUCCAGACUCCUACGGGAGGCAGCAGUGGGGAAUAUUGGACAAUGGGCGAAAGCCUGAUCCAGCCAUGCCGCGUGUGUGAAGAAGGUCUUCGGAUUGUAAAGCACUUUAAGUUGGGAGGAAGGGCAGUAUGUUAAUACCUUGCUGUUUUGACGUUACCAACAGAAUAAGCACCGGCUAACUACGUG
rnacentral:rRNA from 1 species